rnacentral:tmRNA from 1 species
GCGCUCCACGACUAGUUCUACAUGUUUAGUUCAGUCGUUUGAUUUAACCGCAGCGACGCGGACGAACACGCUGCACUACGGCGAUUCGCUAGAUUUUCGACCCUGGCGUCGCGACGCCGACAGGGCUUAACUGACGUAAAUGACCUCUGUCGGUAUUGCUACCGGUCUUGCGACACUAGCCCGUCAGUGAACUAGGCAGAGGACGGCGGCCGUUAGGCUGCCAGUGCGAACGUAUCGUCGUUUGCAGUUACGAUUUUCCCAUUGAUUAACGAGGUGACGGGUCCUCGAC